AUUGAACGCUGGCGGCAUGCCUAACACAUGCAAGUCGAACGGCAGCAUGGUCUAGCUUGCUAGACUGAUGGCGAGUGGCGAACGGGUGAGUAAUGCGCAGGAAUAUACCUUAAAGACUGGGACAACUUGGGGAAACUCAAGCUAAUACCGGAUGAGCUCUGAGGAGGAAAGCUGGGGACCGUAAGGCCUGGCGCUUUAGGAAUAGCCUGCGUCCGAUUAGCUAGUUGGUGGGGUAAGAGCCUACCAAGGCAGUGAUCGGUAGCUGGUCUGAGAGGAUGGUCAGCCACACUGGGACUGAGACACGGCCCAGACUCCUACGGGAGGCAGCAGUGGGGAAUAUUGGACAAUGGGGGGAACCCUGAUCCAGCAAUGCCGCGUGUGUGAAGAAGGCCUGAGGGUUGUAAAGCACUUUCAGUGGGGAGGAGGAUUGAUUGGUUAAGAGCUGAUUGAUUGGACGUUACCCACAGAAGAAGCACCGGCUAACUCCGUGCCAGCAGCCGCAGUAAAAC
rnacentral:rRNA from 1 species